UACGGGUGGCGCAAGUGUUAUUCCUCUUGACUAGGCGUAAAGGGUGCGUAGACUGAUAGUUCUUUUUAAAGUGAAUAUACUAUGCUUUUUUUAAUUUCUAUCUAGAGUGAUUUAGACGAUGAUGGAACCUCCUGCAUUAGAGUUAAAAUGCGUUUAAAACUGGAGAGAACACCAAAGGCAAAGGCAAUCAUCGAUUUUUCACUGACGUUGAGGCACGAAGGCAUGGGUAUCGAAUGGG
rnacentral:rRNA from 1 species